AACGAACGCUGGCGGCAGGCUUAACACAUGCAAGUCGAACGAGACCUUCGGGUCUAGUGGCGCACGGGUGCGUAACGCGUGGGAACCUGCCCUUAGGUUCGGAAUAACUCCCCGAAAGGGGUGCUAAUACCGGAUAAUGUCUUCGGACCAAAGAUUUAUCGCCUUUGGAUGGGCCCGCGUAGGAUUAGCUAGUUGGUGGGGUAAAGGCCUACCAAGGCGACGAUCCUUAGCUGGUCUUAGAGGAUGAUCAGCCACACUGGGACUGAGACACGGCCCAGACUCCUACGGGAGGCAGCAGUGGGGAAUAUUGGACAAUGGGCGAAAGCCUGAUCCAGCAAUGCCGCGUGAGUGAUGAAGGCCUUAGGGUUGUAAAGCUCUUUUACCCGGGAUGAUAAUGACAGUACCGGGAGAAUAAGCCCCGGCUAACUCCGUGCCAGCCGCCGCUGUAACAC
rnacentral:rRNA from 1 species